AUAAGACCAUAAGAUAUCGGAGCAGAAGCAGGCCGUUCAGCCCAUCGAAUCCGUUCUGCCAUUCCGUCGCGGGUAGUUUAUUAUCCCUCUCAACUCCGUUCCCCUGCCUUCUGCCCGUAAAAUUUGAUGCCCUAACUAAUCAAGAUCCUGCCGUCCUCUGCCUUAAAUGUCCCCAAUGGCUUGUCCUCGGCAGCUGCUGUGGCGAUGAACUCCACAGAUCCACCACCCUCUGGCUAAAGAAAUUCCUCCUCACUUCUGUUCUAAAGGAACGCCCUUCUGUUGUGAAACCGUGCCCUCUGGGUAAAGAAUUACACAACUGUAAGCACUGGCUGUCUUUAAGGUCACCUCUCGUCCUCCGUCACUCCAAGGAAUGGUUGCUGGGAGGUGCUGCGACCCAGGGGUUUGCUGGGCCCUGCCGUGGGCCCUGCCAGAGCUGCCUGUCGAUUAGAUGCCCUCUUGGGUGGGUGCAGAAACAUCUGGAGAGAAGAAGAAGCCCUGCCCAGUUCAUUAGUGAGGGCCACGGACUUAUCAAUCACCCAUCUGUUGACACUUUCUGGAGGUGCAAGACGCCAACUUCUGCAAAGAAGGGAUCCGUAUGCUCCACGACCGCUGGACUGUGUGUG